AUUGAACGCUGGCGGCAUGCCUUACACAUGCAAGUCGAACGGCAGCACGGGAGCUUGCUCCUGGUGGCGAGUGGCGAACGGGUGAGUAAUGCAUCGGAACGUGCCCAAUCGUGGGGGAUAACGUAGCGAAAGUUACGCUAAUACCGCAUACGAUCUACGGAUGAAAGCGGGGGAUCGCAAGACCUCGCGCGAAUGGAGCGGCCGAUGUCAGAUUAGGUAGUUGGUGGGGUAAAGGCUCACCAAGCCAACGAUCUGUAGCUGGUCUGAGAGGACGACCAGCCACACUGGAACUGAGACACGGUCCAGACUCCUACGGGAGGCAGCAGUGGGGAAUUUUGGACAAUGGGCGCAAGCCUGAUCCAGCCAUUCCGCGUGCAGGAUGAAGGCCUCGGUUGUAACUGCUUUGUACGGUAACGAAACGGACGAGCUCUAAUACAGUUGUCUAAUGACGGUACCGUAAGAAUAAGACACCGG
rnacentral:rRNA from 1 species